AGGGGAAAUGCUGGAAUGGUGGGAUGUGUCUAAGUGGUCUAACCAAACUGUAAUCAUGACACUCCUCUCUGCCUGACCUUUUCACUCCCUACACUCAGUGGUGAGAUAAGAUUUGUCCUUGUGACUUCAGAAGGAUGAAGUUAUUAGGGAGGCUGGCUGGGUAAUUUACUAGAUAUCUGAUUUUGGGAAAGUCACUUAACCUCUUUGUGCCUUGGUUUUGUCCUCAAGGGCUGUUGUGAAGUUCAAGUGAAAUAAUAAAUAUUACAAUGCUUAGGGAACUGCAGAAGCUAUUUGAAUGUAUGGUUUUAUACUUAUUGUUUGUGUGUGUGUUGGGGGGAGGUGAAGUCAGGGGUUCCUUGCCUCUUCUCCCGUGUUUCUGAUCUUGCCUUCAGGUGAAAUUGUGCCUCAGACUGCCUUCCCUGACUUCCAGGAUUCCUCUAUGUUGAUAAGGGAGAAAGAUUUUCUGCUCAGAUGUGUCCACAAUUCUGGUGGGCAGGAUUACAGUUCCUUCGAGGCAAAGGACUCAGUUCUUCUUGCUGCUCCAUCACGUCCUCGCAGCACCUGAUCUAAACAGUAUACUGAAUUGGAAACCCAUUCAAUCUGAUGUCUGCUGAGGAAUGAAGAAGGACCACUGGUGAUUCCUCCAUCCUCACUCCUGUGUCCCUCCUUGCAUUGCAAGUGCUUUACAAGUCUUCCCGAUAGACCAUGAGCAUCCUGAGGGCUGGUAUCAAAUUUAACUCAUCUCCUAUCCUCAGUGCCUCGUACAAGAUGCUGGAUGUAGGAGGAGUUCAUGCCCUCCAUUGCUUGACUCAACUGGAAAUCAGAGAGGGAGCCCUUUGGUAAAGUUCAAACAGGUCAGGCUCCAAGGACACAGAGCUGGUGAUGAGGGGUUGAGAAUGGAUCUGGGAGAACAAAUGGGAGAUAGAUACUUCAUUAUAUUAGGUAAGAAAUAAAAAGUGGAACAACAACCUGCACCCAUCUGACAACAUACACAUUUGGGAACAAGAAGACGAGAAGGAGAGUAGAGGCAGCAUUAUAUUUCUGACUGCUUGUUUGGUUGCUGGGGCAGCUUAAGUGUUAUUGCUAAACCAAGUCAUCAGUAUCUCCUCUUCACGACUGUCUGAAAACAUGCAGCUUUGCUGUUAGCAGGAUCGGACUUCACAGGGUGCCCAUGAAGUUGACCUCAAUGGCCUGUCAUGCCUUGGUCUUCUAUAGGCCACUUUUUAAUUCCAUCACCAGAUAAAGUGGCUUGGAGCUCCUAUCCUAUCUACAGUGGGCAGUCCAGUGCCCUCUUGAAGACUUAAGGGGAUUCAUGGCACAGGUGACUAUGAUCUCCUAUAGUUUCUUGUUAUAAAUUUUGGCUUCUUGAUCAACCAGUUCACACUUAGGCCUCUUGGGACGUCCCCCCUGCCUCUCCCCACUCUGUCCCAUUUAUUGACAGGAGUUUUCUUCAUUUAGAGCAUCGCUGAUGGAAGGCAGCUAUGUAUAUGUAGUAGACUCUUACUAAAAAUUUAGGGAUGACUACAGGGAUUAUGGCAGAGAACAGGAACCAACCUAAAAUGUAAACUAGGUUACUAGACGUCUCAAAAACUGCCAGCCCUACCCAUGGGAAGUCCUCACUCACUGUAUUUACAUUCAGGUCCUACUUACAGACAUGUUUUAUUGGAUCACAACUGCAAAAUUCCUGUUACUUUGUGUGCAGAACUCUUUUUUUUUUUUUAAAGUCCUACCCAUCCAGAACAUUGUAGGAGGCCUUACUAUAGACAAAGUUUCCAUUUUUGUGAAUAGUCAACAGUCUCUGAAUUUUAUUCUAAAAAAAGACCAAUCUAGCAUCAUACUAAGAGUGGGAAUCUGAUUGGAUAAGUUUGACAUCAAAUUAUUACUAUAUUACUACUACAAUUGCUAUUAAAAUUACUAAUGUUAUAAACAUAAAACAAUUGGGCAGUUUUAUGCCAUCUUAGCCUAGAGCCUAUGAGCACAUGCUCUGAUCCCUGAUCUGAAGCAUUUUGGGGUGGGCAACAGAGUGGAACUGUGGAUGUCACAGAUAUGUCACUCACAUUAAUCUACUUGGUGUGAUUUCCUUAGAAGGGGCUGUGUGUAUGGCAUAUAUUCAAAUUUUCAGUCUGUGCUCCAGUUGGGUAUGCCUGGUCUUUAAGAGGAUGAAACCGAUAUCCUGACUAAGGGCUCAAUCAUUUGCUUAAUAAAUGGAUGGAGGAAAACCA